AGCCUGGCGCAGCAACGCCGCGUGGAUGAUGAAGUCCUUCGGGAUGUAAAGUCCUUUUGCAGAGGAGAACAGCCUGCUUUGCGGGUGUGACGGUACUCUGCGAAUGGGCCACGGCUAACGCUGUGCCAGCWGCCGCGGUGAUACAGGGGUGGCAAGGGUUGUCCGGAUUUACUGGGUGUAAAGGGUGCUCAGGCGGAAUAGUAAGUCGGG
rnacentral:rRNA from 1 species